rnacentral:rRNA from 1 species
AGUGAACGCUGGCGGUAGGCCUAACACAUGCAAGUCGAACGGCAGCACAGGAGAGCUUGCUCUCUGGGUGGCGAGUGGCGGACGGGUGAGGAAUACAUCGGAAUCUACUCUGUCGUGGGGGAUAACGUAGGGAAACUUACGCUAAUACCGCAUACGACCUACGGGUGAAAGCAGGGGACCUUCGGGCCUUGCGCGAUUGAAUGAGCCGAUGUCGGAUUAGAUAGUUGGCGGGGUAAAGGCCCACCAAGGCGACGAUCCGUAGCUGGUCUGAGAGGAUGAUCAGCCACACUGGAACUGAGACACGGUCCAGACUCCUACGGGAGGCGGCAGUGGGGAAUAUUGGACAAUGGGCGCAAGCCUGAUCCAGCCAUACCGCGUGGGUGAAGAAGGCCUUCGGGUUGUAAAGCCCUUUUGUUGGGAAAGAAAUCCAGCUGGCUAAUACCCGGUUGGGAUGACGGUACCCAAAGAAUAAGCACCGGCUAACUUCGUGCCAGCCGCCGCAGUAA